GGAAGAGUGGCUGAGAGUAAAGUGGCAGGUUGUAGUUCUGACAGAUGCAGGCUAAAUUCCUGCUUCUUCC
rnacentral:tRNA from 1 species